UCUCCGUAGGUGAACCUGCGGAGGGAUCAUUACAGAGUUAUCUAACUCCCAAAACCAUGUGAACUUACCACUGUUGCCUCGGUGGAGCCUACCCUGUAGCUACCCUGUAGGGUGGUUACCCUGUUGCGCCCCGCCGGUGGAUUUUCAAACUCUUGUUAUUUUUAGUAAUCUGAGCGUCUUAUUUUAAAUAAGUCAAAACUUUCAACAACGGAUCUCUUGGUUCUGGCAUCGAUGAAGAACGCAGC
rnacentral:misc_RNA from 1 species